AGAUGAAGGAAGUGGUGUAGCAAGUUCUUUGAGCCUACGAAUAGAAACUUGAUAUAAGGCUAAAUGAGAGAUAAGGGUGCAAAACUAACCGAAGUCUAAAAGGUAAACGUAAACUCAAAACAGUAAAUCAAGAGGUUGUGAAG
rnacentral:ncRNA from 1 species